rnacentral:piRNA from 1 species
UGGGCCAACCCUGCAGGGGAGCAGCUUA